GUACUCACUUCAGAAGCACAUAUAUUAACAUUGGAAUGAUACAGAGAAGAUUAGCAUGGUCUCUGUGCAAGGAUGACACGCAAAUUCCUGAAGCAUUCCAUAUUUUU
ensembl:snRNA RNU6-474P RNA, U6 small nuclear 474, pseudogene